AUGCAAAACUCCCUGCCUGUUUCCCACCUACUUCGUUUCCUGAACAUCCUCGAGUUAUUCCUCUUCAACACUCCAAACCAGAACUGGCCAAAAAGUUGCAUGGAAACAAGGGGAUAUUUUGCUUCUCAUCUCCACAAAGACUUUCAGCCCAUUGUCUGUAACACAACAGCCCCCUCUCCAAAGCAGACACAGAGGAACGUGCUCCCUGUCCCCACUGCUUGGAACUUGAAAUGGGAGAGGAAAAACUGUUAUGUGAGUGGGACAUCUGGACACAGAAAUAGGUUUCAGGAGUGGGUAAAGAACAGAAGGAGCAAGAAGAAAUGCUGGAGGGGAAAUGGAGUAGAACCUGGAAGUGAGUCAAGACACAGCAUGUCCAGCAAAUAGCAAAACACAGAGUGGAGGCUUAGAAGAAAUAAGAUCAGAGACAGAAGUUGAAAGAGAGGAGGAAGAAUUAAAACAGCAGAGAAAGUUACCUGACCACUGAUCUGAUUGAGUUUUAGCCCUAAAGGAAAGCAAAGACCUCGAAGUUUCUCACAAAUAAAUUAUGUUGCAGUAUGCUAAUGUGCA
rnacentral:lncRNA from 1 species